UCUCUCUCUCUCUCUGUGUUUGUGAUUCUUCGUUUCGCUCAAUCUUCUUGGACUUGAUCUAUUGGUGUUGGUUUUUAAAGAUGAGUCCCAUAAAGUUGUGUGGAUGAACCAAACCGACCAUAAAAAAAGGGGGCAUUACAACUAAAAAAUUAAACCAACCUAAUUACUAUCCAUUAAACCGAAUUUUUGGUUCAGAUUGGUUUGGAUUGAUCAGUUUGGUCCGAUUGAACCAUGCGGUGAACAGCCCUACUUCUAGCAUUCAUUCUAUUUUUGCCUGCUUCCUGAUUGCCUACCUUUCUUUGAGACCCUGGACCAUAAAAUUAGCAGGUUUGAAAAAGUUCAAUCAUAUGCUGAAAAUGUGUGUGCAUGAUUGUCCAUGACUAAUUAAUUCUCACUGAUGCGACUUUCUUUGCUUAUUAACUUCUACAGAUUCAAGAUGCCAUUACAAGUACUGAUGAUCAUAUGAAGCUGAUUGGUUCCAUGGAAGGGAUUGUAAA
rnacentral:misc_RNA from 1 species